rnacentral:lncRNA from 1 species
UGUGAUGGAGUAAAUUAUAGUGAUGAUAAAAAUGUAUAAGUGAUAAUACUUACUUCUCAUUGCUCCUCAUAUUGCUACCUCUCCUCUUCUUUGAUCUUUGCUUUGGGAGGACAUGGGCUAUCUUUCUCUCUUCUCUUUUUUUUUCAGGUGGGUAGUAGAUACCCCUAAUUCUACUGUUGGACAAUUGUCCAUUUUUUCUGCUCAAGUGGGCAUCUUUGCACCCCUAAUUCUACACCGGACACUUGUCCAUUUUUACCUCUCGUCUCACUUUCUUUUUUUUUCAAGGUUCCGGGCACUUGCCCCUUUUUAUUUCCUCGUAUAUUUUUGCAUAACCCAUGCAUCUUCUGCAUUAAAUCUUUUUAGAGAGAGAGAAUAACAAUACUUGGGACAGUGAGUGAUAAUAUUUUUAGCAAUUUUAAUGAAUAGUGGUGGAUGGUGUAGUGGAUGUGUGCAAGUGAAUAUCUUAAUUUAACCACAUGAAAAGCUCCUAAGGGUCUACACAGCUCGAUCAAACUCAAUGUGAAUAUAGUAAAAGAUGUUAUAGCAAGUAUGGCUGUGGUAGGUAGUUUGUAAUGCUAGGAACUCAUCAUGUGAUUUGUAAGUUUCAAAAUAAAUCUCCAGAACUUAGUGUAGUAGAAACAAGAUAAACAGCAGCUCAACUUUAUAUCAUGCCUUUCCCUUACCUAGACUUUUAGUUUUAUGCUUCCCAU